AAACAUCGAGCAAAGUGUGUCGUUAGUAGCAGUAAAAGAAAAAGAUGAAGAUGAAUAAAAAGCUCUAGACAAAUCAACUUAAAUCUUUACUAUGAAACCGUUAGGAAUAUAGCUUGAAAAAGCUCUCUGAGAAAAACUUAUUCGUGACGUACAAUCUCAGAGACAAGCUCUCCCUUUUCAUUCACCUUGUGCUUGAUCUGCUCGGGAACAGCACGUUCAGCAUAAUCUCCCUCUUCGUUGGGGACGUUGAUGUUCAAGCUUGUUGAUUUACUAGUGACAACUUCGGACGACAACGAAGAUUUGCUCAAAUAGAUGGAACCUCCAUCGCAUUGGUCGAUAACAAUCAUUGGAACGUGAUUCAUAACUUGGCAGCCAAAAUUGGAACACUUAGCAAUAUCAAAAGCGGCCACUAAAGUAUCUACUACAACGCUAGUACGUUUACAGUUGCUCAUGGAAACGGUGUUUAACUUUCCUUUAAUUAUAAUUGUGCAAUUGGAGCAACCGAAAAUUUGCACUGAGUGGUUGAGCUCCACAGAAUCCAAGACUAUACUGUGAUUGUCGACUUGGUUUUCAACAAACCACUUAGUAUUUUCCAACUCAAUGCGAGGUGGUUUAACGGGAGCAGUUUCCGCUGGCUUAGAAGGAGCAGAGCUUUUGAUUUUAGGCUUAGGACCAGGAGUGGGUCCCGUUUUACGUAAAUUCGGAUUUUUGUGGGUCAUUUCACUCUUAUCCACCUUACGAAGUCCGGAUGUAAUUCCCUCGCCUUUAUUAAUUUCGGCAA